rnacentral:lncRNA from 1 species
GCUUGGGAUCCCUCCAGAUUUGAGUGGAGGAGGAGCCUUACUCUGAGGCAGGAAUACUUGUUCCCUUACUCUCAGACAAUUUCAGCUACCCCUCCAGUCCUGCCAUGCAGCAACAGCCUUUGGCGUUGGCUCAGCCUGGAUUCUGCUCCAGCCCCAGCUCUCCUGGCCCAAAACCAUGACUAAACCAUUUGGACAGAAAAUAGCAGUUGAGUUUUCUGAGAAAUUACCUCUUUGUAGCCAGUAGUUCCCAAUUUAACUGUUCUUGGCAGAAAACCCAGCGUUGCCCUGUCAGUAACUUCUGCAGAGGCCUGAGGAUGAAAUAAGGGACACACACCUCUGUAACACACACAUGUAGAGAGAGAGCUACAUAUGUGUAAAAACUGUGAUGUUUGUCACAACAGUUGAUCGCUUGGUUUUAACUAUAACUUGCUGCAGACUUAAUGAAGCAUUUGACUGUCUAUAUUUAUUUUUGUGUGCCUAAAUAAAAAUCCUGUGUAAAUUAGAAACAGAGAUAAUACAUUUUCUACAGUCAAGGCAGGUUUUAGAUUUUUCAGAGUACUCAGUUUUACACUGUGGUAGCAAUUUGUAUGAUCUCUUGAACUAUUUUAAGCUAAAAUGGGUUAGCACUUUCUGAAAGAUGUUGUAGCAAAUUGCUAUGUCUCUCCUGGUUUAUCACGCCGUGCGUACUUAAUUUCUAUAUUUCCUUUUCCUUCUCUGAACUUCUAGAUUUUAAUGCCUUUUUAUAUCUUUUUACUCUAUACAGUCGAGCCUUGCUAUGAAGGAGAAAUGUUCUGUGGGUUGUUUUCCCCUUAUAGAGGAGAAGUGGGAAUGGGGUGGGAAGGGGUGGAGGAUUCAAACUGGGACAUGGGGUCACUGAUGCCUUGUUUCACAGCUCCUGGCUGGGAGAUAAGCUGUCACUUGCUGCCACGUUGCUGGGGCAGUGACUAUAGUGAUGCUCCACUGUAUUUCAAAGCAUAAUGAAGAAGAUGAUAGAUAGAGUAGCAUGUGAUCAGUAACUUCAUUUUUUACAAUGCAAUACUUCAGAACUUACCAGAAAAUACGCGGUUCGAUACAAUGUCUGUGUUGAAUUAAAAAAAUGCAUU